GUGGGGAAUAUUGGACAAUGGGCGAAAGCCUGAUCCAGCCAUGCCGCGUGUGUGAAGAAGGUCUUCGGAUUGUAAAGCACUUUAAGUUGGGAGGAAGGGCAGUAAGUUAAUACCUUGCUGUUUUGACGUUACCGACAGAAUAAGCACCGGCUAACUUCGUGCCAGCAGCCGCGGUAAUACGAAUGGUGCAAGCGUUAAUCGGAAUUACUGGGCGUAAAGCGCGCGUAGGUGGUUUUGUAAGUUGGAGGUGAAAUCCCCGGGCUCAACCUGGGAACUGCCUCCAAAACUGCAUGACUAGAGUACGGUAGAGGGUAGUGGAAUUUCCUGUGUAGCGGUGAAAUGCGUAGAUAUAGGAAGGAACACCAGUGGCGAAGGCGACUACCUGGACUGAUACUGACACUGAGGUGCGAAAGCGUGGGGAGCAAACAGGAUUAGAUACCCUAGUAGUCC
rnacentral:rRNA from 1 species